UGACGGUACCCUUUCGAAUAAGAGGUUGCUAACUCUGUGCCAGCAGCAGCGGUAAUACAGAGACCUCGAGCGUUAUCCGGAUUUACUGGGCGUAAAGCGUCUGUAGGGGGUUUGUUAAGUUCCAAGUAAAAUCUUAAGGCUCAACUUUAAGUUCGCUUGGAAAACUAAUAAACUGGAGUCCAGCAGAGGUGCAUGGAACUUGCGGUGUAGGAGUGAAAUCCGUUGAUAUCGCAAGGAACACCAAAGGUGAAGGCAUUGCACUGGGCUGGUACUGACCCUGAGAGACGAAAGCGUGGGGAGCAAAACGGAUUAGAUACCCGUGUAGUCCACGCCGUAAACGAUGGAUACUAGAUGUUCGGGGAUUCGACCCCCUGGGUGUCACAGCUAACGCGUUAAGUAUCCCGCCUGGGAAGUACGGCCGCAAGGCUAAAACUCAAAGGAAUAGACGGGGAUCCGCACAAGCGGUGGAGCGUCUGGUUUAAUUUGAUAGUAAGCAAUGGACCUCACCAAGGUUUGACAUCCUAUGACAACCCUGGAAACAGGGCUUCCUUCGGGCAUAGUGACAGGUGCUGCAUGGUCGUCGUCAGUUCGUGCCGUGAGGUGUUCCGUUAAGUCGGGAAACGAACGAAACCCUCGUCGCAUGUUACAAAUUUCAUGCGAGACUGCCCGGGUCAACCGGGAGGAAGGCGGGGAUGACGUCAGAUCAGCAUGGCCCUUAUACCUUGGGCUACACAGGCGCUACAAUGGCCGGUACAAAGGGUUGCAAAACCGCGAGGUGAAGCUAAUCCCAUAAAGCCGGUCCAAGUUCGGAUUGGAGGCUGCAACUCGCCUCCAUGAAGUUGGAAUCGCUAGUACUCGUCGAUCAGCCAUACCACGGUGAUACGUUCCCGGAUCUUGUACUCACCGCCCGUCACACCAAGAGAGUUGGUAGCUCCUGAAGCGUCGCAUUAG
rnacentral:rRNA from 1 species